GACGAACGCUGGCGGCGUGCUUAACACAUGCAAGUCGAACGGAAAGGCCCUGCUUUUGUGGGGUGCUCGAGUGGCGAACAGGUGAGUAACACGUGAGUAACCUGCCCUUGACUUUGGGAUAACUUCAGGAAACUGGGGCUAAUACCGGAUAGGAGCUCCUGCUGCAUGGUGGGGGUUGGAAAGUUUCGGCGGUUGGGGAUGGACUCGCGGCUUAUCAGCUUGUUGGUGGGGUAGUGGCUUACCAAGGCUUUGACGGGUAGCCGGCCUGAGAGGGUGACCGGCCCCAUGGGGGCUGAGAGCCGGCCGAGCCCCGUACGGGGGGGAGCGGUGGGGAAGAUUGCCAAAGGGGCGGAAGCCUGAUGCAGGAACCCCGGGGGGGGGAAGACGGCCUUCGGGUUGUAACCCGCUUUCGCCUGUGACGAGGCGUGAGUGAGGGUAAUGGGGAAAAAAGCACCGGCUAACUACGG
rnacentral:rRNA from 1 species